GGGAGCAGGAGCCAGGACUGGCCACAUCCCCAGGACGCUCAGGAAGAGUGCGGUGUCCCUCCAGGGUGGAGUUUCGCCCGGGGACCGCAGACAAACCAGGAGCUCUGUAGGCCAAGCACUCCCGUGACAGACAAUGGAUUCCUACCUGUCUGAGGGGCCUGCAUCAGAAAACGGAUGGACUUCUUCCCUGCUCUUCUUAUACACGAUGAAGAGAGAAAACCUGCAAUGUGUCCGUGAGACUAAGGGAUGCACAUGAAAGGGGACACACUGUAAGGAGCCCGUCCUAAGUAUGGAGGUUGCAUUUUUCAUUUUGCUGGAAUUUGCUAUUUCAUCUAGAGAAGCACUGGUAGAUGUGGCAUGAAUAAAAUCGUGCUGCUGCAAAACAAAACUGAGCAAA